ACGAACGCUGGCGGCGUGCCUAAUCCCUGCAAGUAGAACGCACAGUUUAUACCGUAGCUUGCUACACCAUAGACUGUGAGUUGCGAACGGGUGAGUAACGCGUAGGUAACCUGCCUGGUAGCGGGGGAUAACUAUUGGAAACGAUAGCUAAUACCGCAUAAUAUUAAUUAUUGCAUGAUAAUUAAUUGAAAGGUGCAAUUGCACCACUACCAGAUGGACCUGCGUUGUAUUAGCUAGUAGGUGAGGUAACGGCUCACCUAGGCGACGAUACAUAGCCGACCUGAGAGGGUGAUCGGCCACACUGGGACUGAGACACGGCCCAGACUCCUACGGGAGGCAGCAGUAGGGAAUCUUCGGCAAUGGACGAAAGUCUGACCGAGCAACGCCGCGUGAGUGAAGAAGGUUUUCGGAUCGUAAAGCUCUGUUGUAAGAGAAGAACGGGUGUGAGAGUGGAAAGUUCACACUGUGACGGUAGCUUACCAGAAAGGGACGGCUAACUACGUG
rnacentral:rRNA from 1 species